AUUGAACGCUGGCGGCAUGCCUUACACAUGCAAGUCGAACGGCAGCACGGGGGCAACCCUGGUGGCGAGUGGCGAACGGGUGAGUAAUACAUCGGAACGUGCCCCGUAGCGGGGACAACCAGUCGAAAGACUGGCUAAUACCGCAUACGCUCCACGGAGGAAAGGCAGGGGAUCGCAAGACCUUGCACUAUGGGAGCGGCCGAUGCCCGAUUAGCUAGUUGGUGAGGUAAAGGCUCACCAAGGCAA
rnacentral:rRNA from 1 species